rnacentral:tRNA from 1 species
ACCAGCAUGGCAUAGUGGUUUGAGUGUCAGACUACAACUCUGGAGAUCAGGGUUCUAUUCCCAGCUCAGCCA